CAGGCAGAAGAGUUAUCUUAAGGAUCAUCUUUCCCUAAGAUCGUCAUCCCUUCCUGGAGUUCCUAUCUUCCAAGAUGUGACUGUCUGGAGUUCCUUGACUAGGAAGAUGGAUGAAAACAGCAAGCCUGUGGAUGGAGACUACAGGGGAUAUGGGAGGCAGGGAAGAGGGGUUGUUUCUUUUAAUAAAUCAUCAUUGUUAAAA
rnacentral:lncRNA from 1 species